GACGAACGCUGGCGGCGUGCCUAACACAUGCAAGUCGAGCGGACAGACCCGGCUUUUGCUGCUUUCUUGUUUGGGGCACGCGGGAGUAUCACGCGUGUAUACCCUACCUGUCAUUGUGAUAAAUUCUGGAAAAUCCGGCUAAUACCCGGUAGAAUCUCCUGCUGCGUAGGGGUGGUUGGUAAGAUUCGGCGGUGGGGGAUGUUCUCGCUGCUUAUCAGCUGCUUGGUCAAGUAGUGACUGACCAAGGCUAUGACGGCUAGCCGGCCUGAGAGGGUGACCGGCCACAUUGCGACUGAGAUACGGAGCAGACUCCAACGGGACGCAGUAGGGGGGAGUAUGGCACAAUGGGCGGAAGCCUGAUGCAGCGACGCCGCGUGCGGGAUGACGGCCUUCGGGGUGUAAACAGAUUUCGCAGGUGACGAACCCUGAGUGACGGUAACGGGUAAAGAAGCACCGGCUAACUACGUG
rnacentral:rRNA from 1 species